GCAAAUGUUUAUGGCAAGGAGCAAGUCAUCUCUUUGCUGGCACAGUGAACUAUGAAUCAACUUCUGGGAAGUGAUUAUUAUCAAAAUACUAAUCUACUUGGGUACAGCUGUGUUUGUUAUUUCGGAGCAUCUGAACCACCCCACUGAGUUUCAAAAAGCAGGAACAGAAGAGUUUGCAGAACACAGUUAAUUUAGAGCAAAACAGCUCAGAGAUGGAACAACACACCAGCAGCCAGCACACUGCAAGGUUUCCUUCUCCCAGGAAAAGACAGACAACAAAGAAGAAAAACUCAGCUUCAUGUUUCCUGAAACCACUACAAGUCAUACUUUCUCUAGAGCACCAGAAAUAUGAAGAAGCCUACACUGAAGACAAUACACUGCAAGAACCCAAUAACUGCAUAUCUAACUGGCAAUAAAAUCCCAAGACCGUGAUUGUGCUUGCUGACUUGUAUUGCCACAAACACAUGGUUAUUUAAAUACAAAUUAUCACAUUCCAGGCACUGGUACACAAUUUCACGCAAGUCUGAAUUUCAUCUGCACAGAAAAUAAAAAUAUUAAAG
rnacentral:lncRNA from 1 species